GAGAAUACUUUUAAUGGAUUUAACGCACGGCUAUUGAAUUAUAAAUUCUUUGGAAAUUAUUGGCUCGCGUACGUGGCUCCUCAAGAUUACGAUAAUGACGUGAAUUCACAAUGACGGCGCAUGCUUGAUAUCGACUUGUAGCAGCAACAGCUUCGUAAAACGCAGUCACAGCCGCAGCAGCAACAGCAACAGAGAAUGACCAUAUAAAUGGAGAGGGAAAUAGAAAACAGUCUCGCUGGCUGUGGUGUCAGAGAGUGAGCAUCGUUUUUUUAUAAGGAACCAAGGAAAAUUGGCAACGCGAAAAUGUCCCGGACAAUGGCGAGGGAAGGCGGGUGGAACGUCGAGGAGGGUGAAUUUGUGGAGCAAGCGAACGACGAUGUCGAUGUACGCACCACUCUGAUCAACGAACCGUGUCACCCCAGAAGUGGCGAUGGUCUGCCGAGGAUCCCCACCUCAGUCGUCUGACUCUCGUUGUAAACAAAAUCGAGGGUUGAGGGUGAACAGGAGUGGAAUCGAGUGGAGGGGGCAGAUACAACGGAGGUGGUGCGAGAGUGCUAGGUGUCGGUGGUACUACUCGUCAGUAGCACGGCGGUCACAGAUCCUUUCGGAACAGAAAAGCUGCCUGACCUCAACCAAACUGCACCUCAUCCACCGCUGCGCUCCAACACCUUAACAAUGGACUAUCAAUUAACUACCAACAUCUUCGUCUCUCAGAGCCAAUA